rnacentral:lncRNA from 1 species
UUCAUCUCUUUUUGUGUCCUUUUCAUUCAGGCGCAAUCACAUUAAGCCUGUUAUCCGUACAUGUUUCAUAGUAGAGUGGCCUGUUAGUGACUAUGAUCUGAGCAUGGGGUUUCUGGCACAUAAAUAUGUGUAAACCCUUUUAUUAGACCCAACUGUAGUUGUGGGGGAUCGAAUUGUAAUCCGCCCUACCGAGUUCAGUGCCAGAUACCUCUGAACCAACUAACAGUGGGUAAGUUUUUCAUUUUCCUUUUCUUUUUCUUUUUUCUUUUGUUUGUAGCAAAUUUUUACAAUUCUUUGGUUUAAAUGACUUUGUGAGGGUCACCUAUCCCGAAGUUGCGUUUUUGCUUUCUUUUGUUUUUUUAUUUUGUUUUGCUGGAUCAUUCACUUAUUUGCAUCGGUCCCCUAUGUAGAGGAUGCGUAGGCCGGAGCUGACUGCUGAGAUA